CACAGUAAUGAGUAUCCUGUACGUGGCCUUAUACUGGUGAAACCGCGUAGUAUGCAUCUGGCUUUAUACUUUUUGGUUGUUGUAUCUAUGGUCUUUUUGGUUCAGAUAGAGAACUGUCAGAUUUGGCGGCAGGUCUUUGCCCCGAGGUUAUGUCCGAUUUGAUCUUUUGUAAUAUUAUAAUUAAUCCUGUAUAUCGAUGUAAUAAAAGAAAUGUUACUGGAAGCAGUGGUUUGAGUGCUAAACCCCUUUUACUGAGCAUUAAAUCGAUAUAUGUUUAUAUCUCAGAAAGCGGGAUUAUGAAUUCAAAUGCCCACAUAAAGAUUGGAUGUAAUUUACUUUCAUCUACUGUGAGAAGAGACGUUGGAAUACAAUGAGAGUAGAUCUCGACGAAAAUGAAACAUACGCAACCAUCAGCUUCAUGGUGAUACAUCAUUAAGAGCCUGUUACAUGGUUAUGAAGAAAGGCAAGGUGGUAAAGAUGUCAUCGUGCAGUAUUCAGGUGCAAUGCAAGAUGCUCAGUGAAGCUAAUAGUUAUUAACACUGAGUUGUUUAAUGACAUUUUAAUGAAGUUGGUGAUAAGUGAUGGACUCACAGCAUCUGGCUGAAGCAAAGAAGGUUAAGCUAUUAGACGUGCACAAUCCUCAACAGGAAAGCCAAAAUCAUGAAAAAGAAGGAAGAAAUCAGAUGGCCAGACGAUAUUAAAAGGUGGCAGGGAAUCCAUGAAAGAGGCAUAUGUUCAGCAGUGGAGCUGAAUGAGCAGAGAAAAAAAGAGAAUAUGAAUAUUAGAUUGUUGUAAAAUUAAGACAUAGUAAGAAGAUAACUAAACAUACAUAGGUUGUGUUGUGAGCAAUUAGUGAUGAUUAGUGUCAUACUAUUGUAGAUCAUAACGGACAGGGUUUUAGCAAACUAUUAUAUAAAUAUUAUGAAUCUAGACUAUGAUUGUUUAUGUUAAUUUAUAGUUUGGCAGACUGUCUAGUGCAGGCCUUGAUGGCAGACUGUCUAGAGCAGGCCAUGAUUGUUUAUGUUAGUUUAUAGUUUGGCAGACUGUCUAGCGCAGGCCUUGAUGGCAGACUGACUAGAGCAGGCCAUGAUUGUUUAUGGUUUUUUAUAGUUUGGCAGACUGUCUAGCGCAGGCCUUGAUGGCAGACUGUCUAGAGCAGGCCAUGAUUGUUUAUGUUAGUUUAUAGUUUGGCAGACUGUCUAGCGCAGGCCUUGAUGGCAGACUGUCUAGAGCAGGCCAUAUUUGUUUAUGUUAGUUUAUAGUUUGGCAGACUGUCUAGCGCAGGCCUUGAUGGCAGACUGUCUAGAGCAGGCCAUGAUUGUUUAUGUUAGUUUAUAGUUUGGCAGACUGUCUAGUGCAGGCCUUGAUGGCAGACUGUCUAGAGCAGGCCAUGAUUGUUUAUGUUAGUUUAUGGUUUGGCAGACUGUCUAGCGCAGGCCUUGAUGGCAGACUGUCUAGAGCAGGCCAAGAUUAUUAAUGUUAGUUUAUAGUUUGGCAGACUGUCUAGUGCAGGCCUUGAUGGCAGACUGUCUAGCGCAGGCCUUGAUGGCAGACUGUCUAGAGCAGGCCAAGAUUGUUAGUUUAUAUUUAUGUAUUUUGACAAGAUGUAUAGAACAGGCCUUGAGGGCAGACUGUGAUUGUUGAUGUUGGUUUAUACUUUGACAAGAUGUAUAGAACAGGCCUUGAGGGCAGACUGUGAUUGUUGAUGUUGGUUUAUACUUUGACAAUAUGUAUAGAACAGGCCUUGAGGGCAGACUCUGAUUGUUGAUGUUGGGUUAUACUUUGGCAAGAUGUCCAGAGCAGGCCUUGAGGGCAGACUGUGGGUGUUGAUGUUGAUUUAUACUUUGGAUGUUAUUUGUAGAUGUAUUUUGGCAGACUGUCUAGAGCAGGCCUUGAGGGCAGACUGUCUAGAGCAGGCCAUGACUGUAUGUUAGAUUAUAUGUAUUUUGGUAGACUGUCCAGAUCAGGCCAUGAUUGUUUAUAAAUGCUUGUUAAUAGUGUGGCAGACUGACUAGAGCAGGCCUUGAUGGCAGACUGUCUAGAUCAGGCCAUGAUUGUUUAUACUUGUUAAUAAUGUGGCAGACUGACUAGCGCAGGCCUCGAUAGCAGACUGUCUAGAUCAGGCCAUGGUUGUUUAUGUUUGUUUAUAGUUUAGCAGACUGAUUAGCGCAGGCCAUGAUGGCAGACUGUCUAUGACUAUGAUUGAUUAUGAUAAUUAUGAUAGAUUAUAAUUUGGUAGAAGCUGUUUAAAGAAGGCUGAUAAUGCUACCAGGUGUUGGUUAUUUAUUACAAAAAAACUAUUUACAGUAUUAAACCAUGUGAAGUGUGAGGAUUGAUUUCUCAAUAAGAUUGAUAUAUACAAAAUGCCUGUGAUUGAUUAAUUAGGGAGUUAUAGUCUGAAGGUUAAUUACUGUUGUUAUGAGUGUUUAUCUUUUGUUAUUAUUAAGGUGGAUGGCAUGUUACGUUAUAUUGUUGUUAUUAAUGUUUAAUUACUUUUAGUGAGAGGACUCACUAAAAUAAAAAGGAUGGCCGAAGCUGUAAGCAUCACAGUAAUGAGUAUCCUGUACGUGGCCUUAUACUGGUGAAACCGCGUAGUAUGCAUCUGGCUUUAUACUUUUUGGUUGUUGUAUCUAUGGUCUUUUUGGUUCAGAUAGAGAACUGUCAGAUUUGGCGGCAGGUCUUUGCCCCGAGGUUAUGUCCGAUUUGAUCUUUUGUAAUAUUAUAAUUAAUCCUGUAUAUCGAUGUAAUAAAAGAAAUGUUACUGGAA